GACGAACGCUGGCGGCGUGCUUAACACAUGCAAGUCGAACGGAAAGGCCCUGCUUUUGUGGGGUGCUCGAGUGGCGAACGGGUGAGUAACACGUGAGUAACCUGCCCUUGACUUUGGGAUAACUUCAGGAAACUGGGGCUAAUACCGGAUAGGAGCUCCUGCUGCAUGGUGGGGGUUGGAAAGUUUCGGCGGUUGGGGAUGGACUCGCGGCUUAUCAGCUUGUUGGUGGGGUAGUGGCUUACCAAGGCUUUGACGGGUAGCCGGCCUGAGAGGGUGACCGGCCACAUUGGGACUGAGAUACGGCCCAGACUCCUACGGGAGGCAGCAGUGGGGAAUAUUGCACAAUGGGCGGAAGCCUGAUGCAGCAACGCCGCGUGCGGGAUGACGGCCUUCGGGUUGUAAACCGCUUUCGCCUGUGACGAAGCGUGAGUGACGGUAAUGGGUAAAGAAGCACCGGCUAACUACGUGCCAGCAGCCGCGGUGAUACGUGGGGUGCGAGCGUUGUCCGGAUUUAUUGGGCGUAAAGGGCUCGUAGGUGGUUGAUCGCGUCGGAAGUGUAAUCUUGGGGCUUAACCCUGAGCGUGCUUUCGAUACGGGUUGACUUGAGGAAGGUAGGGGAGAAUGGAAUUCCUGGUGGAGCGGUGGAAUGCGCAGAUAUCAGGAGGAACACCAGUGGCGAAGGCGGUUCUCUGGGCCUUUCCUGACGCUGAGGAGCGAAAGCGUGGGGAGCGAACAGGCUUAGAUACCCUGGUAGUCCACGCUGUAAACGGUGGGUACUAGGUGUGGGGUCCAUUCCACGGGUUCCGUGCCGUAGCUAACGCUUUAAGUACCCCGCCUGGGGAGUACGGCCGCAAGGCUAAAACUCAAAGGAAUUGACGGGGCCCCGCACAAGCGGCGGAGCAUGCGGAUUAAUUCGAUGCAACGCGUAGAACCUUACCUGGGUUUGACAUGGAUCGGGAGCGCUCAGAGAUGGGUGUGCCUCUUUUGGGGUCGGUUCACAGGUGGUGCAUGGCUGUCGUCAGCUCGUGUCGUGAGAUGUUGGGUUAAGUCCCGCAACGAGCGCAACCCUUGUUCACUGUUGCCAGCACGUUAUGGUGGGGACUCAGUGGAGACCGCCGGGGUCAACUCGGAGGAAGGUGGGGAUGACGUCAAGUCAUCAUGCCCCUUAUGUCCAGGGCUUCACGCAUGCUACAAUGGCUGGUACAGAGAGUGGCGAGCCUGUGAGGGUGAGCGAAUCUCGGAAAGCCGGUCUCAGUUCGGAUUGGGGUCAGCAACUCGACCUCAUGAAGUCGGAGUCGCUAGUAAUCGCAGAUCAGCAACGCUGCGGUGAAUACGUUCCCGGG
rnacentral:rRNA from 1 species